AACUUAGCAGAGAUGCUUUGGUGCCUUCGGGGAACUCUGAGACAGGUGCUGCAUGGCUGUCGUCAGCUCGUGUUGUGAAAUGUUGGGUUAAGUCCCGCAACGAGCGCAACCCUUAUCCUUUGUUGCCAGCGGCUCGGCCGGGAACUCAAAGGAGACUGCCGGUGAUAAACCGGAGGAAGGUGGGGAUGACGUCAAGUCAUCAUGGCCCUUACGGCCAGGGCUACACACGUGCUACAAUGGCGCAUACAAAGAGAAGCGACCUCGCGAGAGCAAGCGGACCUCACAAAGUGCGUCGUAGUCCGGAUUGGAGUCUGCAACUCGACUCCAUGAAGUCGGAAUCGCUAGUAAUCGUAGAUCAGAAUGCUACGGUGAAUACGUUCCCGGGCCUUGUACACACCGCCCGUCACACCAUGGGAGUGGGUUGCAAAAGAAGUAGGUAGCUUAACCUUCGGGAGGGCGCUUACCACUUUGUGAUUCAUGACUGGGGUGAAGUCGUAACAAGGUAGGCGUAGCGAG
rnacentral:rRNA from 1 species